rnacentral:rRNA from 2 species
AAAUUGUUGAAAGGGAAGCGCUUGUGACCAGACUUGCGCCGGGCAGCUCAUCAGGGGUUCUCCCCUGUGCACUCUGCCCGGCUCAGGCCAGCAUCGGUUCUCGUGGGAGGAUAAGAACGGUAGGAACGUGGCCCCCCUCCGGGGGGGUGUUAUAGCCUACCGUACGAUACUCCCGUGGGGACCGAGGUUCGCGCUCCGCAAGGAUGCUGGCGUAAUGGUCAUCAGCGACCCGUCUUGAAACACGGACCAAGGAGUCGUCCAUUAGAGCGAGCGUUUGGGUGUAAAACCCGCACGCGUAAUGAAAGUGAACGCAGGUGAGAGCUUCGGCGCAUCAUCGACCGAUCCUGAUGUCUUCGGAUGGAUUUGAGUAAGAGUUUUAACGGACGGACCCGAAAGACAGUGAACUAUGCUUGUAUAGGGUGAAGCCAGAGGAAACUCUGGUGGAGGCUCGCAGCGGUUCUGACGUGCAAAUCGAU